rnacentral:rRNA from 1 species
UUAAGCGACUAAGCGUACACGGUGGAUGCCCUGGCAGUCAGAGGCGAUGAAGGACGUGCUAAUCUGCGAAAAGCGUCGGUAAGGUGAUAUGAACCGUUAUAACCGGCGAUGUCCGAAUGGGGAAACCCAGUGUGAUUCGUCACACUAUCGUUAACUGAAUACAUAGGUUAACGAGGCGAACCGGGGGAACUGAAACAUCUAAGUACCCCGAGGAAAAGAAAUCAACCGAGAUUCCCCCAGUAGCGGCGAGCGAACGGGGAGCAGCCCAGAGUCUGAAUCAGCUUGUGUGUUAGUGGAACGGUCUGGAAAGUCCGACGGUACAGGGUGAUAGUCCCGUACACCAAAAUGCACAGGUUGUGAACUCGAAGAGUAGGGCGGGACACGUGGUAUCCUGUCUGAAUAUGGGGGGACCAUCCUCCAAGGCUAAAUACUCCUGACUGACCGAUAGUGAACCAGUACCGUGAGGGAAAGGCGAAAAGAACCCCGGCGAGGGGAGUGAAAAAGAACCUGAAACCGUGUACGUACAAGCAGUGGGAGCACCUUCGGGUGUGACUGCGUACCUUUUGUAUAAUGGGUCAGCGACUUAUAUUCUGUAGCAAGGUUAACCGUAUAGGGGAGCCGCAGGGAAACCGAGUCUUAACUGGGCGUUAAGUUGCAGGGUAUAGACCCGAAACCCGGUGAUCUAGCCAUGGGCAGGUUGAAGGUUGGGUAACACUAACUGGAGGACCGAACCGACUAAUGUUGAAAAAUUAGCGGAUGACUUGUGGCUGGGGGUGAAAGGCCAAUCAAACCGGGAGAUAGCUGGUUCUCCCCGAAAGCUAUUUAGGUAGCGCCUCGUGAAUUCAUCUUCGGGGGUAGAGCACUGUUUCGGCUAGGGGGUCAUCCCGACUUACCAACCCGAUGCAAACUACGAAUACCGAAGAAUGUUAUCACGGGAGACACACGGCGGGUGCUAACGUCCGUCGUGAAGAGGGAAACAACCCAGACCGCCAGCUAAGGUCCCAAAGUCAUGGUUAAGUGGGAAACGAUGUGGGAAGGCACAGACAGCCAGGAUGUUGGCUUAGAAGCAGCCAUCAUUUAAAGAAAGCGUAAUAGCUCACUGGUCGAGUCGGCCUGCGCGGAAGAUGUAACGGGGCUAAACCAUGCACCGAAGCUGCGGCAGCGACACUAUGUGUUGUUGGGUAGGGGAGCGUUCUGUAAGCCUGCGAAGGUGUGCUGUGAGGCAUGCUGGAGGUAUCAGAAGUGCGAAUGCUGACAUAAGUAACGAUAAAGCGGGUGAAAAGCCCGCUCGCCGGAAGACCAAGGGUUCCUGUCCAACGUUAAUCGGGGCAGGGUGAGUCGACCCCUAAGGCGAGGCCGAAAGGCGUAGUCGAUGGGAAACAGGUUAAUAUUCCUGUACUUGGUGUUACUGCGAAGGGGGGACGGAGAAGGCUAUGUUAGCCGGGCGACGGUUGUCCCGGUUUAAGCAUGUAGGCUGGUUAUCCAGGCAAAUCCGGAUAAUCAAGGCUGAGGUGUGAUGACGAGGCACUACGGUGCUGAAGUAACAAAUGCCCUGCUUCCAGGAAAAGCCUCUAAGCAUCAGGUAACAUCAAAUCGUACCCCAAACCGACACAGGUGGUCAGGUAGAGAAUACCAAGGCGCUUGAGAGAACUCGGGUGAAGGAACUAGGCAAAAUGGUGCCGUAACUUCGGGAGAAGGCACGCUGGUGUGUAGGUGAAGUCCCUGCGGAUGGAGCUGAGACCAGUCGAAGAUACCAGCUGGCUGCAACUGUUUAUUAAAAACACAGCACUGUGCAAACACGAAAGUGGACGUAUACGGUGUGACGCCUGCCCGGUGCCGGAAGGUUAAUUGAUGGGGUUAUCCGUAAGGAGAAGCUCUUGAUCGAAGCCCCGGUAAACGGCGGCCGUAACUAUAACGGUCCUAAGGUAGCGAAAUUCCUUGUCGGGUAAGUUCCGACCUGCACGAAUGGCGUAAUGAUGGCCAGGCUGUCUCCACCCGAGACUCAGUGAAAUUGAACUCGCUGUGAAGAUGCAGUGUACCCGCGGCAAGACGGAAAGACCCCGUGAACCUUUACUAUAGCUUGACACUGAACAUUGAGCCUUGAUGUGUAGGAUAGGUGGGAGGCUUUGAAGCGUGGACGCCAGUCUGCGUGGAGCCAACCUUGAAAUACCACCCUUUAAUGUUUGAUGUUCUAACGUUGGCCCCUGACCGGGGUUGCGGACAGUGUCUGGUGGGUAGUUUGACUGGGGCGGUCUCCUCCCAAAGCGUAACGGAGGAGCACGAAGGUUAGCUAAUCCUGGUCGGACAUCAGGAGGUUAGUGCAAUGGCAUAAGCUAGCUUGACUGCGAGCGUGACGGCGCGAGCAGGUGCGAAAGCAGGUCAUAGUGAUCCGGUGGUUCUGAAUGGAAGGGCCAUCGCUCAACGGAUAAAAGGUACUCCGGGGAUAACAGGCUGAUACCGCCCAAGAGUUCAUAUCGACGGCGGUGUUUGGCACCUCGAUGUCGGCUCAUCACAUCCUGGGGCUGAAGUAGGUCCCAAGGGUAUGGCUGUUCGCCAUUUAAAGUGGUACGCGAGCUGGGUUUAGAACGUCGUGAGACAGUUCGGUCCCUAUCUGCCGUGGGCGCUGGAGAAUUGAGGGGGGCUGCUCCUAGUACGAGAGGACCGGAGUGGACGCAUCACUGGUGUUCGGGUUGUCAUGCCAAUGGCACUGCCCGGUAGCUAAAUGCGGAAGAGAUAAGUGCUGAAAGCAUCUAAGCACGAAACUUGCCCCGAGAUGAGUUCUCCCUGAGACUUUAAGUCUCCUGAAGGAACGUUAAAGACGAUGACGUUGAUAGGCCGGGUGUGUAAGCGCAGCGAUGCGUUGAGCUAACCGGUACUAAUGAACCGUGAGGCUUAACCUU